rnacentral:rRNA from 1 species
GACUACAGGGGUAUCUAAGCCUGUUUGCUCCCCACGCUUUCGCUCCUCAGCGUCAGGAAAUGUCCAGAGAACCGCCUUCGCCACCGGUGUUCCUCCUGAUAUCUGCGCAUUCCACCGCUCCACCAGGAAUUCCGUUCUCCCCUACAUCCCUCAAGUCAUCCCGUAUCGAAAGCAAGCCCACCGUUAAGCGCUAGGUUUUCACUUCCGACGCAAACAACCACCUACGAGCUCUUUACGCCCAAUAAAUCCGGACAACGCUCGCACCCUACGUAUCACCGCGGCUGCUGGCACGUAGUUAGCCGGUGCUUCUUCUCCUCCUACCGUCAAAUUCGCCGGAGGUGAAAGCGGUUUACAACCCGAAGGCCUUCAUCCCGCACGCGGCGUUGCUGCAUCAGACUUCCGUCCAUUGUGCAAUAUUCCCCACUGCAGCCUCCCGUAGG